GUGCCAGGUGCUUUGCCUGGAGUUGACCACCUUCCAUCCUUUCCACAACCUGUAAGGAAGGUGGAAUUAUCCCCAUUUCUCAGAUGAGCAACGGCCCUGCCCAGAACUCUUGACUUGCCCGAGGUCAUAUGGCUUGGUAGCUAUAGAGCUGGGAUUUGAGCCCAGGUCUCCGGACGGAGCUCUCCGACCGAGCUAAAAGAAAGGAAACUCCUUAGAACUAGGUAAAGAAACACACAGGAGAACUAAAGACCAUAGGAUAAAGGCUACGGGCAAAGCAUUUGGGAAUUAACAGAAAAAAAAAAAAAAGAGUUCGUGAAAUCUCCCGUCACUUAAUUUCAAAUCUAAGACCGCAUUUACACUGCCUUCUACGUCUGGCUCUGGGGGCGAGGUGUUGGGAGGUGGAGAGAAGACUGCGCCAGGGCUGGGCAGAGGCGGCUGGGGACACCUUCUCAGCGGAUCCGCCUGCUGGGAGUGGGGGUGGGGUGGGGUGAGGAGAAGUUGUGGAGGGAACUCAGUUGUUAUUCAUCGCCAAUGUUAGUCAUCCCUUCACCUCACCCCAACCCGUGGAUUCUAUUUCCUUCCUUUACUCCGUGUUUUGUCCAAGAUGACAGUGGUCAAAUUGAAGCUGGUCCUACUACCAUCACUAUGUUUCACCACGGGUCUUGGCAUCCGGUGGUCCUGUGCUUCCGUGACUGUGUUAGGAGCUGUGAGGAGGUCUGGGGUGUGACGUCUACCAGAGCUGAAAGGAGAAACAUUCAGUUGUCUACAAGGAGAGCUGGC
rnacentral:lncRNA from 1 species